rnacentral:rRNA from 1 species
AGUGAACGCUGGCGGCAGGCCUAACACAUGCAAGUCGAACGGCAGCACAAGAGUGCUUGCUCUCUGGGUGGCGAGUGGCGGACGGGUGAGGAAUGCAUCGGAAUCUGCCCAUUUGUGGGGGAUAACCUCGGGAAACCGGGACUAAUACCGCAUACGACCUACGGGUGAAAGCAGGGGAUCUUCGGACCUUGCGCAGAUGGAUGAGCCGAUGCCGGAUUAGCUAGUUGGAGGGGUAAAGGCCCACCAAGGCGACGAUCCGUAGCUGGUCUGAGAGGAUGAUCAGCCACACUGGGACUGAGACACGGCCCAGACUCCUACGGGAGGCAGCAGUGGGGGAUAUUGGACAAUGGGCGCAAGCCUGAUCCAGCCAUGCCGCGUGUGUGAAGAAGGCCUUCGGGUUGUAAAGCACUUUUGUUGGGAAGGAAAAGCAGCCGGUUAAUACCCGGUUGUCAUGACGGUACCCAAAGAAUAAGCACCGGCUAACUUCGUG